rnacentral:rRNA from 1 species
GGCCGCAAGGUUGAAACUCAAAGGAAUUGACGGGGGCCCGCACAAGCGGUGGAGCAUGUGGUUUAAUUCGACGCAACGCGAAGAACCUUACCUACCCUUGACAUCCUGCGAAUCUGGCUGAGAGGCUGGAGUGCCGAAAGGAACGCAGAGACAGGUGCUGCAUGGCUGUCGUCAGCUCGUGUUGUGAGAUGUUGGGUUAAGUCCCGUAACGAGCGCAACCCUUGUCCUUAGUUACCAGCAAGUAAAGUUGGGGACUCUAAGGAGACUGCCGGUGAUGAACCGGAGGAAGGCGGGGACGACGUCAAGUCAUCAUGGCCUUUAUGGGUAGGGCUACACACGUGCUACAAUGGGGCGUACAGAGAGUCGCGAACCUGCGAAGGGGAGCCAAUCUCAUAAAGCGUCUCGUAGUCCGGAUUGGAGUCUGCAACUCGACUCCAUGAAGUUGGAAUCGCUAGUAAUCGCGAAUCAGCAUUGUCGCGGUGAAUACGUUCCCGGGCCUUGUACACACCGCCCGUCACGUCAUGGGAGUGGAUGGUACCAGAAGCGGGUAGUUUAACCUUCGGGGAGACGCUUGCCACGGUAUGAUUCAUGACUGGGACG